UGUGCUACGUGCAGGAAGGAGCGGCUGGCGUUCCCUGAGUUGCCCGGCGUCAGAGCAUUGUGUCUUCACUUGCCGGCCCUUGGUCACUGCAACCAAGGCUGUUGUUUCUUCUCGCCAAGCCUCAGAAUAGCACGUUGCAGAAUGGCUGCCUACCAUUGGGAAGCGCGCCGCAAACAAAUAAUAAUGGAGCACCGGCUGCGGCUGAUGCAGGAGAGCAGAAUCCCAGAAGAAAGUGAGCAACAAGUUUCAAAUGAGAAAACCCAAAAUUGCACCAUCCCUUUGGACUCCAACAUGACGUCUCAGAAUUUGCCAGUAAAAGAGAUCAAGCAGGAUCGUUGCCUAUGCCAGACAGAGCAUGUUCCAAGUCAAAGCGGUAAACUGCUCAAAAGAUAUAAGGCUUUAGACUACAUGCAACAGUGGUAACAACAAUACAGCUGAAAACCAACAUGGAGCAAUGUUGUUCUGUAACUGCUGGAGGACAAAAUGCCACACGUCUGAGCUGAAAAGUCUGCCAGAGCAUACGGUCAAGAUUAAUCUUUCGGGAAUUCUUCUUGACAGUAUAAUAAAAGUUCUCUGAAGUCACAGACCCACACAGUGCCUGCCUUUGUGUGAAACUUUGCUAUGACCUCUCCCCACUUUUCUCCCUGAAACUUCCAACCACAGCCCAAACUUGCCUGUUAUCUCCUUCAUUUUGGGGAACAGGUUUGAAAAAGACUGGGAAAGAAUCUGGUACAACAGAUUAAGUUGUCAUGCUAG
ensembl:lncRNA